AUUGAACGCUGGCGGCAUGCUUUACACAUGCAAGUCGAACGGCAGCGCGGGCUUCGGCCUGGCGGCGAGUGGCGAACGGGUGAGUAAUACAUCGGAACGUGCCCAGUAGUGGGGGGUAGCUCGGCGAAAGCCGGAUUAAUACCGCAUACGACCUGAGGGUGAAAGCGGGGGAUCUUCGGACCUCGCGCUAUUAGAGCGGCCGAUGGCAGAUUAGCUAGUUGGUGGGGUAAAGGCCUACCAAGGCGACGAUCUGUAGCUGGUCUGAGAGGACGACCAGCCACACUGGGACUGAGACACGGCCCAGACUCCUACGGGAGGCAGCAGUGGGGAAUUUUGGACAAAGGGCGAAAGCCUGAUCCAGCAAUGCCGCGUGUGUGAUGAAGGCCUUCGGGUUGUAAAGCACUUUUGGCGGGAACGAAAAGGACUGUGCCAAUACCACGGUUCGAUGACGGUACCCGCAGAAUAAGCACCGGCUAACUACGUG
rnacentral:rRNA from 1 species